CGCCAAAGGCAGCUUGGUGUUGGUUUGCCCACUCCUUCAUUCUCUGUCGCCCAAGAGCUUCCCACCCCUUUAGGGGGCUGCACUGUGGCACCGGAUGGAGAGGGGACAGUGGCCUAUGCCGCGUCAGAUUAGGAAACAAGGGAAGUAAGUCGCCUGUGGGUGGAACUUGAAAGGAUUUUCACUCCUGUCAGAUGCCAAAGCCAAAGUCCUUUAUUGUGCCAAGGCUGCCUUUGUAGCAUUUCAGUGCAUGCGGGUUCGGUGAAACAGGUCAUCUUCCUGAGAAAAGGCGGCUGAGGUGCUAUACAAGAUGUUUGUACUUCAAGAACCCCAGAAGCUGCAGAUUAUGUAUGAAUCCCUGGAAAAGAGCAUCCCUGAGUCCUUGAAGGAAAGGAAGCUUUCAGAACAUCUUCUUGGAUGCCUCCCACGUGGGGCUUGUGAAUGAGCAGUGGAAUUUUGGAAAAAAUGGGAGGAGCUUGAAAUAUAUUGAAUGCUGCCUCCAGAAUUUUCCAGAAUUUGGUGUGCUGGGUCCAGAGGAGGACACUGUCUCUUGGACUGUGAUGGAACAGUCUUGUGAGAUGAGAAUGGGUUACACUGUCCCCAAACCGAGACCAAGGCUACAUGAAGAAAAUCGGUUCUCACUUUAUAUUUUAUUCAGAAAAAAAUGCCAUUUAAUUUGCAUGUGUCAAAAGAUAAAGAAAACCUUCAGCCACUGAGAAGUGUGGGGUUUAAGUCUGCUCCUUGUGGUUGGCAUCAGUGGAAAUGCACUCCUAGAAAAUAUUGUUGAUUAGUGCCAUUGUCCAUUUCAAGCUUUUAUGGUCAGUGAAAAAAAUACCAGUUCAAACACAAGCAUUAUAAUUUAUAUUAGCACAAAAACAUCCAAUUGUUUGGGUUCCAUGCAUUACUUAACCCACCCUUGUAUAAUAUUUUUUCCUCCUCCAUAUUACAGAAAAAUGGAAGCUUGAACUUUUGGUGUUAUGUUUUGCCUUUAUGGUGACAGACCUCUCAGAAUUAAAAUCAUCCAGUGUCAAUCAUUAGUGCCAGGAUAACCUUUUCAAAGCAACGUUUUCCUCUUUGAAGACUUCUUUCAUGAAAGAAUCCUACUUUUCCAUGCUCCUGUGCUUGAAAAUAAGAAGGCUGAUUUGAAAAGUGUCUUCUCUGGUAUCCUCCCCUUCCUCUGACAAAAUUUUCCAAAGGACCUCUCAAAAGCCCUCAGCCUUUGAUCCUGGGUGCCCUCUCAAGAGUUUUGAGAUACUCUACUGAAUUAAAUUAUGUGGCCAUCAUUUAAAGUUUGGUUUUCUUAUUAGCUUUUUAAAAAGAUUUAUUCAUUUAAGAGAGAGAGGGAAUGCGAGCAGUGGGAGAGGAGCAGGGGGAGAGGGAGAGGGAGAGAGAAACUCAAGCAGAUUGCAAUGAGAGUGGAGCCUAACAUGGGGCUCGGUUUUAGGACCCUGAGAUCAUGACCUCAGCUAAAACCAAGAGUUGGAUGUGUAACCAACUGUGCCACCCAGGGGCCCCCAAAUAAGUAAUUCCUUUACUUACAGUUAAAAACUCUGAUUCUGUAAGUCACAUCUUAAUAAUAUCUGUCUCUUCUUGUUGGUGCUUGUG